rnacentral:piRNA from 1 species
UUUUAUUCUUUAGGGAUAGAAGGCCUUGGU